UGAAGUGACAGGCUUAGUGACUAGAUAAGGGGGUUGAGGCUUGUAUAUGGAUGACUAUAGGUGGAAGGGCUCCGGAAGAUGACUGAGUGAGGGAGACUGGCCGGUUAAAGUGACUGGGUUGUUAAAUGGAGCUGGGUGAGGAACAGAACCUGGAAAAUGCCUUGGUGACUAGAUAAGGGGGUUGAGACUUGUAUAUGGAUGACUAUAGGUGGAAGGGCUCCGGAAGAUGACUGAGUGAGGG